GCAUUUUACCGCCGCAGAGAUGGAGGUGGAGAAGGGAAAGCCGGGCAGGAGACUGCGGAGCCGGUGGAGGGGGCGCGGUGAUGGCGGCUGCACAGGCAGUGCAUUGUCAUAGCCCCACCCUGAAACGCGCCACUCCAUCCACGUUAGAGAUCUGGCUUGAGAAGGGCCCCAAAAGCAAGCAAACAUACUGGCGGAGAAGCCGGGAGACCGCGUGCCCCGAGGGGCGGGUCCGCCCAGCCCCGCCCCAGCCGUCCCGCCCGCCCCGAGCCCUGCCUGUCCAUGCGUUCUGCUGGGCCACACCUUGUACUGGUCCGGGCAGGAUCGAGUCCGACCCUCGGGGACAGCCCCGCUACACAGACACACACAAUCGAACCCAACCUGAGACGUAGCCUUGGGCAGGCUGUGCCUUCCACCAGAGGAGGGGACUGGGUGGCCAGGGCGGGACAAGUAAUAUUCAGGACACAUUAGGAGCCAGCCCAGUGCUAGUCCCGUACAAGCAUCCUCCUCUUUAAUCCUCACUACCCAGCCCACAGUGGGCACAGCUGGUCUCCCCAUAUUUAAAACGUGGAACCUGAGGAAAAGCGAGGUUAGUGACUUGCUCAGGGUUACGCAGCCUGUAAGUGGUGGGGCCAGGAUCUGAGUCCAAACCCAGGCUGAACUUUCUCUUGUGGCAAAGAGCUGGGGUGGCCCAACUGGCUGGUCACUGAGCCCCUCCCAAUCCUGGCUGGUAUUGGAUGCUGAGGGUCCCUUGUGCCAGGCCCUGGACUGGGCUGCCCGACAAGCUAGGAAAAUGAUGAUUAAAACAAGGCCCCCACUUGAUUUCAACACGCCAAGGGCAGUGCAGGAGAGGGGGCCUUGGGCUCGCUGAGAAUUUUAUUGAGCAUCUACUGCAUGCUCAGCCCACAGGGAUAAGCUGGAUCUUGAAGGAGAGUCAGGAAAAAGAUUAAGGCCUGGGGUACAGCAUUGGCAAAGGCUUGGCAGUGACCUGGGAGAUGGUGAGAAGAGAGGCCUAAGAAUGGGAAGUGAGGUUGGGUAAAACAAGAUUACGGAGUCUUUUAAAUGCCAGGCCAAAGAUUUGAGGCUUCAUCCUUAGGUAAUUGGGAAGCCAUAUUUCAGGCCUGGAAUCUUGCUCUAGAGAGUAAGACAUGUUCGAAGGGAGAAGGGAGGGAACUGGAGACCAGGCCUUUUCUGGACCUGUUUUCCAUCUGGAGAAUUGGACUUAACUGUUUCAAGGACUUUAGAAUAGAUAUCCACAUGCUGAAAUGUCAGAGCUGGCAGGACCCUUAGAAUCACCCCUGUCUAACCCCUUAUCCUGAAUAACGGGAAACUGAGGUCUGAGGGAAAGGAGGGGCUGGCCCUAGUUUGCACAGCGAGUGAGCAGAGCUGGGGUCUCCAUACCAGGUUUCCUGCCUCCCAGGCCUUCCUCUUCCUGCUAUGAUGCUGAAACGAUCACACUUCUGGGGGCCCAUGAAACAGGAUUUGAAUGUGGGUCUAGGAGGAGGCCACUACCCCAGGCUUCACCAUGCUUUGAAGAGUCACUUUUGCUGUUGGAAUCGAGGUUAACAAACCAGGCUAAUCUUUCCCCUAGUGAAUAUAUUUAAAGAGCAUGCUAGAUAGUAAUGAAUCAUCCACUCCACCCCCCAUAAGGAUGGGGUCCCAGUGAGAGAUGGGAGGAGGGCCAGCCCUGGAUGGGGGGACCUCCUCGGUUCCUUCUAGCUCUUAGAGGGCUUAGAGCCCUUCCAGCUUUUCUGAUGAGGUUGGACUAAGAUUGAUUUCAAAACAGUGAAAAUUAGGUAGAGCUGGAGCAUUCUAAAUAAUUGAUUUCUGACAUGUGUAAAGGACACUCUGGUUCUCCCAUGAAGCUUUUCUUCUCACCAAACUUCCUCAUCUCCUCUUCCUCACCUCCUACCCACCCAUCAGCUCAGUGUGCUCUCACCCUGUCCCUACUCCUCCACCGUGGCCAUCAGAGCCCUCCUUGUUGUCAAAGCCAAGGAGGUUUCAUAGUGCCCACCUCCCUGGCCCUCUUGGCUGGACUGGGCACGACUGCUCACCCUUCCUUGACCGACUCUCCCAGCUUCCCUUCUGCUGCUCCGGCCAUUGCUCUUCUAUUUGCUGUAUGGGCUUGUCUUCUAGCCUACCCCAAAAUACUAGGGUUCCUCAGGGCUUUGUCCCGAGCCCUCUUCACACACUGCCCUAUCCUUGGUGACCCCAUCCUCAUGCACUCUAAGGAACCAUCUACCAUGUUCCUAGUACCAGGCAAGGUGCUUUGCAGAAACGUGCAUUUUUUUUUCCCUCAAGAUACCCCUGUAAGGCUGGUCCGAUUUCCUUUCCUGUUUUUUUGUUUGUUGGCUUUUGUUUUGUUUUGAGAUAGAGUCUCACCCAUUCACCCAGGCUGGAGUGCAAUAGUGCUCUCUUAGCUCACUGCAACCUCCGCCUCCCAGGUUCAAGCGAUCCUCCUGCCUCAGCCUCCCAAGUAGCUGGGGCUACAAGGCGCACGUCACCGCACCCAGCUAAUUUUUUCAGAGAAAAUUAUUUAAACUCUUGUGCCUCAUCUGUUAAAUGGAUUUUUUAGUCUUUUUUUUGGUUUGUUUUUUUCUCUAAGAGAUGGAGUCUCGCUCUGUUGCCCAGACUGGAGUGCAGUGGCACAAUCUUGGCUCACUGCAAUCUCCGCCUCCCAGGUUCAAGCUAUUCUCCUGCCUCAGCCUCCCGAGUAGCUAGGACUGCAGGCAUGCACCACCAAGCCCAGCUAAUUUUUUUGUGUGUAUUUUUAAUAGAGAUUUCACCAGGUUGGCCAGGCUGGUCUUGAACUCCUGGCCUCAAAUGUACCUCCUGCCUCGGCCUCCCAGUGUGCUGGGAUUACAGGCAUGAGCCACUGCGCCCAGCCAGUUUUUAAAAUUUGUUUGUUUAAUAGAGCUAGGGUUUUGCCAUGUUGCCCAGGCUGGUCUUGAACUCCUGUACUCAAGCUAUCCACCCACCUCGGCCUCCCAAGUGAUGGCACUACAGGCGUGAGCCACUGAGCCCGGCCUCCUUCCCGUUUUACAGAUAAGCAAACUGACACAGAGCUGUCCCAUGGUUUAAACAAAGUCACACAGCUGGGAAUGGGCAAAGCAAGGAUUCAAACUCAGAUCCAUCAGACACCCAAGUCUGAGGGCCUCACACUGCCCCGUGGUGUCAGCUGAGAAGAGCUCAAAGUGUGACUCCCUGUUGGGGUCACUCAGAUUAUACAAAGCAUACAUAAGCCUCCCACCAUGUGGCCUACACACUCUUACCAGCACACAUCUUCUUUGCCCUUGGGAGAGAGUUGCUAACGCCCAAGAGCCUCAUCAAUAAAAAUCAGGGUCACCACCUGCGACAGGUCACCUACUCCCAAGGCUCUACGUCCUAUCGAUAAACAGGGCCUUUGAACAACGUCAAAGACAGCACCUGAGUGAGGUGAGGGAGGUCAAUGGUUAAUGUCAAACACACUUUGUUGCCUCAGGGCUCAGAGCAGGUCCCCAGUAGAGGAGCCAAGUCUGGGUCUUCACCUGGUACAGGGUCUCACUCGGGGAACAGAACAAACCGCCCCCCCCCCCGGGUUCCUGAACACACGUGUGUGGUGUGAUUUGAGAAAGAACGUGGUUCUUGUCUUGGGUUCGAAUCCUACCCUGCCAGUGCACCAGCUGAGUACCCUCCGGCAAGUCACUUGUAAAAAGGGACCAAUAGCCUGGCACAGUGGCUCAUGCCUGUAAUCCCAGAGCUUUGGGAGGCCGAGGUGGAAGGAUCACAUGAGGCCAAGAGUUCAAAACCAGCCUGGGCAACAUGGCAAAACCCCAGUUCUACAGAAAACAAAAUACACACACACACACACACACACACACACACACACACAC
rnacentral:lncRNA from 1 species